UACCAGCACCCCCGAGUGGUCGGGACGAUUAUUGGGCCUAAAGCAUCCGUAGCCGGUACUGCAAGUCUUCCGUUAAAUCCACCUGCUUAACAGUUGGGCUGCGGGGGAGUACUACAGCGCUAGGAGGCGGGAGAGGCAAGCGGUACUCAAUGGGUAGGGGUAAAAUCCGCUGAUCCAUUGAAGACCACCAGUGGCGAAGGCGGCUUCCUGGCCUGUUC
rnacentral:rRNA from 1 species